rnacentral:rRNA from 1 species
CCUACGGGAGGCUGCAGUGGGGAAUAUUGCACAAUGGGGGCAACCCUGAUGCAGCGACGCCGCGUGAAGGAAGACGUAUUUAGGUAUGUAAACUUCUAUCAACAGGGAAGAAAAUGACGGUACCUGUCUAAUAAGCCCCGGCUAACUACGUGACAGCAGCCGCGGCAAUACGUAGGGAGCAACCGUUAUCCGGAUUGACUGGGUGUAAAGGGAGCGUAGGCGGUUAUGCAAGUCAGAAGUGAAAGUGUGCAGCUCAAGUGCGGGAUUGCUUGUGAUACUGUAUGACUAGAGUGCAGUAGAGGUAAGUGGAAUUCGUGGUGUAGCGGUGAAAUGCGUAGAUAUUAGGAGGAACACCAGUGGCGAAGGCGGCUUACUGGACUGUAAAUGACGCUGAGGCUCGAAAGCGUGGGGAGCAAACAGGAUUAGAUACCCGAGUAGUC